AGUGAAAGUAGGUUGAACUAUCCAAGAACUUAACGUACUGAGUGCUUUCCACUUUUGUCGGCAUCAGCUAAUUUUCCUUUGAUCCAUGAAGGAAAUUCUAGAAUUGCUUGUAUUUCCGCUUUUUUCUGGAUAAACAGCAUUCGCUGUAGCUGUUCACGAACAACGGGCUCCUUUUGGAAGCCUUCAAAUUGUAAUAAUGUUGUAAUCAUUUUAAUAUCCCUUUUAUUCAAUUUUAAAGAGAAUUCUUGGUUUUUAUUAAAAAUGUCCUCAUACAGAGGGCCUAAAAGCUGUAAAUUUCGUAAUUGACUGUGCGGUUCAUGACUGUAGGCAUUAGAACCGUACUUGAAACAGGAAUAAAUGCAUAAGCCAUGGGGGUCCCAAUCAAAAAUACCAAAAAAUUUAGCAUCCGGGAGGGCUUUGGCUAAUUUAACUAAAAAUUUUCUCGUCAUCAAAUCUGGAAAUCCUUUAGCCUGUUACAAGCAAUUAGUUAGCUAGCACUCUAACAUCAAUAUCAUUGAAAAGGAAGCAUUCUCACUUACUGUAACAAUUAUUGUAUCCGCUAAAGCCUCUUCGGUUAGCGUUUGGAAUACCGCUUCCUUUUCGAUGACCAAGACCCAUUUUGCUGUGGAAGUGAUUGAUGAAAUUCGAUGGUGAGAGAUUAAUAAUGGCUGUAUUUAGUAAAAUUCUUAGUUAGAAAAAACAAUUUUUACGGUUAUUAAAACUUGAACCUACUUUAGUAGCAGUAAUUACUGUCCCGUUUUCAAGAGCAAUAUGAAUGGACCCAAAUACCAAUCCUUUAGCAGAUGCUUCCUAAGAUCAAAUUAAUCGUUAAUGAAUCUAUUUCCAAAGAAAUGACUUACAACGUUAAGGUCGGACCUGGAGCAACCAAUGGUGUUUGAAAUAUCUCCAAGCAGCUCAUCGACUACGGUUUGUCGCUUGAAUAAAUCUACAUCUCUGUAAUAAAUAUCUCUGCAAAUGUAAUUAGAACUUAAAUCUGAAUUUUCGGCGUAUAGUACAAAGCAAUUACCGCUUAGUGAUUACUGUAUCCGAAAUAACAGCUUCAUGAACACAAUCUAAAACCCUGAAUAGUUGAGCAAUUGUUGUUUCAUUCCUGGGGAAUGAAAAAACCUUAACUUUUUGUCUUUCAUUGGCCUUUGAAUCUAAGCUGCCAUUCCAAGAAUUGUGCUUUCGUCUUUUCAAAGCAACAUUUACUGAAUCUUUGGUAGGCUUACUUAAUUGCUCAACAAAAUCAUGAACAAAUUGCUCAAUCCAUGAUCUAACAACUUUUUUUUUAUCAUUCGAAUUCAUUUUUUUUACUUUCUGGACGCGUUCAGCAUUCUUUGCAUUGUCUAGAUAAUUAUGCAAAGCGCGUAUGGUUACAGUGUAAAAAAUCAAUAGCUUAAUUCAAAUAAGCUAUAUCUAAGCGAGAUUGUUUUCUGAAGAAAUGAUACAUACAUUCAAUAAAUGGGUAAUAUCAAGGCGAAACAGUAUAUGUGUUUUCGUUAACUGCUAAAAAAUACUUACUGAAGACUUUCCUUCUGAUAAAAUGGUGUAAGAGAAGACUCACGCGAGCUUUGCGGACUGAAUUGGUAAAUCGUAAAGAUGGAUCGAAAUUUGAAAUUCCUAAACAACUUAUGUUCUUGUCUACAGAAAAGUUGAAAGAAAAGUAAAUAUAUUUGAACUCUUUCGAGUUCAAAUGCAACAUACGACAACUAAGAGCCAUAGAUCAAGC